rnacentral:rRNA from 1 species
UACGGAGGGGGCAAGCGUUACUCGGAAUUAUUGGGCGUAAAGGGCGUGUAGGCGGCGGAGUAUGUCUGACGUGAAAUCCCUCGGCUUAACCGAGGAAGUGCAUCGGAAACUGCUUCGCUAAGAGUGCGAGAGAGGAUAGCGGAAUUCCCAGAGUAGAGGUGAAAUUCGUAGAUACUGGGAGGAACACCUGAGGCGAAGGCGGCUAUCUGGUUCGCAACUGACGCUGAGACGCGAAAGCGUGGGUAGCAAACAGG